UACGUAGGGUGCAAGCGUUGUCCGGAAUUAUUGGGCGUAAAGAGCUCGUAGGCGGUGUGUCACGUCGGCCGUGAAAACCUGCAGCUUAACUGUGGGCGUGCGGUCGAUACGGGCAUCACUGGAGUUCGGCAGGGGAGACUGGAAUUCCUGGUGUAGCGGUGAAAUGCGCAGAUAUCGGGAAGAACACCCGUGGCGAAGGCGGCUCUCUGGGACGGUACUGACGCUGAGACGCGAAAGCGUGGGGAGCGAACAGG
rnacentral:rRNA from 1 species